AGAGCGUCUGCCUCCGGAGCAGAAGGCCGCAGGUUCGAAUCCUGCCGGGGGCA
rfam:Mycobacterium kumamotonense strain Roo Mkuma_contig000086, whole genome shotgun sequence.